GAUGAACGCUGGCGGCGUGCCUAAUACAUGCAAGUCGAGCGAAUGGAUUAAGAGCUUGCUCUUAUGAAGUUAGCGGCGGACGGGUGAGUAACACGUGGGUAACCUGCCCAUAAGACUGGGAUAACUCCGGGAAACCGGGGCUAAUACCGGAUAACAUUUUGAACCGCAUGGUUCGAAAUUGAAAGGCGGCUUCGGCUGUCACUUAUGGAUGGACCCGCGUCGCAUUAGCUAGUUGGGGAGGUAACGGCUCACCAAGGCAACGAUGCGUAGCCGACCGGAGAGGGUGAUGGGCCACACUGGGACUGAGACACGGCCCAGAAUCCUACGGGAGGCAGCAGUAGGGAAUCUUCCGCAAUGGACGAAAGUCUGACGGAGCAACGCCGCGUGAGUGAUGAAGGCUUUCGGGUCGUAAAACUCUGUUGUUAGGGAAGAACAAGUGCUAGUUGAAUAAGCUGGCACCUUGACGGUACCUAACCAGAAAGCCACGGCUAACUACGUGCCAGCAGCCGCAGUAA
rnacentral:rRNA from 1 species